UGCCAGCAGCCGCGGUAAUACGAAGGGAGCUAGCGUUGUUCGGAAUUACUGGGCGUAAAGGGUGCGUAGGCGGCUUAGCAAGUCAGAUGUGAAAUCCCCGGGCUUAACUCGGGUGGGUCAUUUGAAACUGCUAGGCUUGGGUAAAGAAGAGGUAAGUGGAAUUCCUAGUGUAGCGGUGAAAUGCGUAGAUAUCGAGAGGAACACCAGUAGCGAAGGCGGCUCACUGGGCCGGUACCGACGCUGAGGAGCGAAAGCAUGGGGAGCAAACAGGAUUAGAUA
rnacentral:rRNA from 1 species